AGUGAUCCUCCUGCCUCAGCCUCCCAAGUAGCUGGGACUACAGAUGACAGACAAACAGUCUGGAUUCCAAACAAAAGAAUCAAGCCCAGAGUGGAAACCUGAGGGGAAAAAAGGGAAGACACGUCAGGCACAGACCAUGACGUGGGGACAGCUGAAGAGAACAUACGAAGAAGCAGACAGGAUAUUGGACCGGAUAUCUGUACCUAAAACAUCUGUAAACCUUUUUCUUGCCAUGAUCUGUGUGUCUGGAGAAACCCGAAAAAGACAAGAAUCCGGAGACCAAUGCCUCGCUGUGAUGGCUGUCCAACUCCAUCAUGUUCCAUGGUGCCUUUAGUGGAGUACUUGGGCAGCAGAUAAUGGUGGAUUAAGCUUCGGUUUCCCUGGUAACCAACUCUGGAUCUGAGCUGAGUGACCCGGUGCUGAGGAGCAGAAGACUGUCGCCAAGGCAACAGAAUCCAUACCCCUUUCCAGCACUAAGGCCCUUCUCCCUCCUACUCCCUGCUUGCAUCUCCGAAACGGGGUCUCACUGUGUUGCCCAGGCUGAACUUAAAC